AGUGCAAGUAAACAGUUUUUAGGACAAGCCGGAAUUUUUCUAAAAUUUAACAGCGACUGAAUAAAACAGCAGAGAACUUCAGGGCAAGAUGGUGCGUAUGAAGAAAUAUACAAAACACUUGGAAUUAAUUCAGAACUUAUAAAAAUACUUGAGUGGUAAUAAAGCAGUUAAAAUAGUCAAGGGAAAAUCUUUGCUGAAGAGAUUACAUGCUAGAAAAGAUUUUCUCUUCCCCACCUUCCAUUCAUACUUCAUGUACACAGAAUUUACAUUCAAAUUUGCCUGCUCCUUCCCCCCUCCCUCUCACAACAAAAAUUAAAUUAUCCUAAGAAUUAAGGCUCACAUACCUGAAGGUUUAUAUAAAUACUUGCAGGCACGUUUUAGGAAGUUUUAAAAUCCACAGUAAUUCACCAUCAUACAUCAAAGGAAAAGGCAAGUACUUGACAAAAUUUCUUAUCACAUGAUCAAGGUGAAGAAUCCUUAGACACGUCUCGAUAUUAUAUGUCCAGAUGUAGGUGGGACUUUGGUCCUUACGAAGCCAAAGCUAUUUUAAAGCUACCAGGCUAGUCCUGUAGAAAGCUGAAUAAGGGCUGCUUCACUCGAUAAAACUGACGGGUUUAGCUCAUCAUUAAAACAGCAGACAGUGACUAGGAGAAUGCAAAUAAACGGUUUUGGAUAAAGACUUGACUUUACUGCUAAGCCACAUGAAACAGGGCAUCAGUGAAAGGCAGAAUAUUUGUUAAUAUCUUUCCCCUAAUCCUUGAUAAAGUUCUGUUCUCAUGCAGAACCUUCGAAAACAAAACCUCUCCAAGGACAGCCACGUGUGAGUUGUGUAUGAUACACACAUGUAUAUAAACCUACAAUCAGUUAGUCUGACCAAGGCACAAAUUCAAAUGACUUAUCAGAGAGGUCUCAUGGUUCAUUUAAACUCAAGUUUUGUUUUUUUCUUCUGUAAGUAUUAAGCUCCUUCCUCUUAAUAGGAGCUGCUCUGGCUUUUCAAGGCAUGUUUGUCUCCUCUUUUCUAGAAAGAAGCUGCAGGAAUGAAUGAAGGGAAAAAAAAAAAAAAAAAAAAAA
rnacentral:lncRNA from 1 species